rnacentral:rRNA from 1 species
CUUGAGUUAUAAAUAUAAGAGGUCCAGCCUGCCCAGUGAUUAAAUUUAACGGCCGCGGUAUCCUAACCGUGCGAAGGUAGCGUAAUCACUUGUUCUUUAAAUGAGGACUAGUAUGAAUGGCACCACGAAGGUUUUACUGUCUCCUUUUCCUAAUCAGUGAAACUAAUCUUCCCGUGAAGAAGCGGGAAUAAGCGAAUAAGACGAGAAGACCCUAUGGAGCUUUAAACACAAUAACAAAUACUACUUUAAACAAAAAUUUCUUAAUGACUACUCCCUGGUAUUAUGAUUAUUAGUUUUAGGUUGGGGUGACCGCGGAGAAAAACACAACCUCCACAUUGAAUGAUAAAAUUCUAAGCAAAGAAUCACAUUUCCACGCAUCAAUACAUUGACAUCAAUUGACCCAAUUAUUUUGAUCAACGAAC